GUAACCACGGAUAUCCGUGGGACGUCCGCCACAAGUCCGAAUGUCCAUCCAUCAGGAUAUCCAGCACGGACGUCCAUAGGACGUACAAGGAAUGUCCAUAUCCCGUUCGGAUGUGCAGAGGACAUCCGAACGGGAUGUCCAAGGGACAUCCGAUUUUGAUCGUCCAGUGGCUGUACAUAAAUGUGCAUGCCUAGGACAUACAUAAGUUAGGACAUGGAUGGAUCGAUGUCCUAAUAUGAAAAAUCAUGGUUGGAAAUUGUAUAGGUUUGUAAUUAAUAUUUGCAUGUUUCUGCACUCUAUCGGAUGCUUGGAGUUCUUUUUGCAAGGCAAAACGAGUAACUGACCUAUCCUUGCAACUUAAGAUGACAAUUAUGAAAAUUUAAUAUUUGGACAAACCCACUCUAGCAUGAAAAUUGCGCAAUUUUUCUCCGUUACAGCAAUUGGCAUUAUUAUAUUACAUGCCAAGAUCAUGAGUACAGUAACAUUUAAAAUUAUGUUUAUGGAAAACUUGCAGAACAUUGAAUCGCCCACUAGAAAUCACUAAUUAUGUAACAUGGAGCGAGUGUACUAAAACUAUCCAUCAUUGCGGAAAGGCCGAUUAUGAGCCCCGCCCUCCAACUUGUAACUGGGAAAAAUUCUCGAAUUUAUUUUGCCAGGACCAUUAUCUAAUAAUUUUGAUCACCUGGGGGUUCCUUAGCAUGCACCUGUAUCGAAGUACACAAGCGUUUUUGCAUUUCUCCCUUAUCGAAAUGCAGCCGCCACGACCUGAAUCCAACUCGCGACCUUAAUCUCAGCCGCCUAACAGAUCUCAAAGGCUAUGUUUUCGCUGGCUGCAUGAAUGAUUACAGAAGCAAAAAAUAAAACAGGCGCCAUGUAGUAGUUGCCAAUCUCUAAGGCUAUACGUUUACUACGCUUUCGCUAAUUGAAUUCAUUGGAAGUUGGAAACACGUCCAAAAUGUUUAGUUUUACGACACCACUUAUUCCUAAAACAAGUAAUUGUUUCACUGUUCAAUUUUAUAUAUUAAUAAUAAUGUUUCAACAAACUAUAUUGACGUUGAUGUGUCAAAAACUCAUAACAAAGCAUGCUGUGCGAUGAUUCAGUGUCGUGUUGCGAUCCAAUCCAAUCCAAUCCGAGGUAAAGCCAUCGUCUCAAUGGCGGCGAAGUGCCCAUGCGGCCGGUCAACUGUCGGUUCGUUUGCCAUCUUCACUGCCUGCCGAAGUCGCCUGCUCAGCUAUUGAGGUGCCAUCAAGCCCUAAAGUGAGUGAAAAGCCGUACACGCGAAAGAAAGCGCCACUGCACACAAAUGCUGUAUUUGAGGACUUCGGAUCUCGCACCGGCAGCCAGCAGUCAACGGCCCGAGUAGCAAGUCAACACAUCUUCGUAAAGAAACAACUGUUUAUUUCCUAGCAGUGCAAACGUGGUGUUCGCCGGUCGGUACCGCGCAACUGAAUGUGCAGGCCCCAGAAAGUGCGCGACGGCGCGCGUCGGCCAGCGGGAAGCCGCUCCCUGCUUGGGAGCAAUGUGACACGCGUGUGCCGGCCAGGGUCCCGCGCGACGAGCAGGAGGUAGGCGCACACUAUGUACUGUGCUGCCGUUUUGUGGUUUCUGCCACACGUAUAUUCUUGCUUGUAACUGUUCUUUUCUUUAUUCUAAAGCUUGUGCCUGUAAUGAAUCGUCGUAGGGUUUGACAGUACAAAUAAGUAAAUAUGAUAAUCGAACGACACCUCAUUUAAUGGUGUUGUCUUUCCCAUAUUUGUUACUCUGCUUAACAUGCUGAAAGGAGUUUCUAUUGAUUUUAUAUGUAUUCGCGCUGUCCUAGCUUCAGUCAUGAUAUCUGGAUCUGUCAAUUUUCUUUUUUAUCGGCGAGUAUAUUUGUUGUUAUGAACAUUAUUCAUGUGUGCAUUUUGGACUUAUGUUUAAGCUAGCAAUAAAAUAUUUAUUGUGUUUUGAA